UAUACUUCCUGCUUGCAUAUACAGAAAAGGAAAGAGCCACCAAAGGGCAUCUCUCUGGCCCUUUCACCAGCCGUGAGGAGACACUUCAGACCUCAAGGCUGGAUGGCAUUAACUGACUUUCAGGACAUCGAGCCCAUUGGUCUUACUUCUGUUUCCCACCACAAGUUUGAGAUGACAAUCCAAAGUAGCUGCACUUGGACACAGAGAGGAUGAAGAGGAAGAUUUCCUUCACCAGCUGGGGCAGUAGGGUCUCUGCCGAUGGAUGCAGAGACGACCUCAAGUCCCCAAAGUGGUCUGGACCUCCCUGGCCAAAGGAACCCAAGAAAUGGCCUGGGGCUUGUCACAGACAAAGGUUACCUGAUUACAUUACUGUAGUAGGCAGUUGGGUGGCUUCUGUAGGAGCCACACUGGAGACAUCCAUCAAAGAACAUUUCAGUGGGCAGGUCAAUGCUUAAUGAAAGUGUCAGUGGCUUUCACAGAAAAGUUUAUCUUGAUUCCUGUUAACACUCUGGAUAAUAAACUUCACACUUUCUCUGAUAAAUGGUCUUUC
rnacentral:lncRNA from 1 species